AUUGAACGCUGGCGGCAGGCCUUACACAUGCAAGUCGAGCGUGGGGCGGACGGGUGAGUAAUGGCGGGGAAACCGGCUGUGGGAGGGGGAUAACCACAGGAAAAGGUAGCGAAUACUGCACACCAACAGAUGUGCACAGACGGGAUUAGCUAGUAGGGGGGGUAACGGCCCACUUAGGCGACGAUCCCUAGCUGGCCUGAGAGGAUGACCAGCCACACUGGGACUGAGACACGGUCCAGACUCCUACGGGAGGCAGCAGUGGGGAAUAUUGCACAAUGGGCGCAAGCCUGAUCCAGCCAUGCCGCGUGUGUGAAGAAGGCCUUCGGGUUGUAAAGCACUUUCGGCAGGAAAGCGGUACCCGCAGAAUAAGCACCGGCUAACUCCGUGCCAGCAGCCGCGGUAAUUC
rnacentral:rRNA from 1 species